GAUGAACGCUGGCGGCGUGCCUAAUACAUGCAAGUCGAGCGAAUGGAUUAAGAGCUUGCUCUUAUGAAGUUAGCGGCGGACGGGUGAGUAACACGUGGGUAACCUGCCCAUAAGACUGGGAUAACUCCGGGAAACCGGGGCUAAUACCGGAUAACAUUUUGAACCGCAUGGUUCGAAAUUGAAAGGCGGCUUCGGCUGUCACUUAUGGAUGGACCCGCGUCGCAUUAGCUAGUUGGUGAGGUAACGGCUCACCAAGGCAACGAUGCGUAGCCGACCUGAGAGGGUGAUCGGCCACACUGGGACUGGGACACGGCCCAGACUCCGACGGGAGGCAGCAGUAGGGAAUCUUCCGCAAUGGACGAAAGUCUGACGGAGCAACGCCGCGUGAGUGAUGAAGGCUUUCGGGUCGUAAAACUCUGUUGUUAGGGAAGAACAAGUGCCAGUUGAAUAAGCUGGCACCUUGACGGUACCUAACCAGAAAGCCACGGCUAACUACGUGCCAGCCGCCGCUGUAA
rnacentral:rRNA from 1 species